AGCCCAGCGCUGAAUCCUGCCGCCCGGGCGGGCGGCCGGGAAAUGUAGCGUUCGGUAGGAGAGUAAAAUUUAAACGCGCGGUCAUUAGUCACGGCUGCCAGUCCAAGUUUUUCUUGAACGGGGCCGCUUGCCCGUAGAGGGUGCCAGGCCCGUGGUGACGGUAGCCGGCCGCGACGGUCUCCCUACCCAGAGUCGGGUUGCUUGAGAGUGCAGCCCUAAGAGGGUGGUAAACUCCAUCUAAGGCUAAAUACUACCACGGGACCGAUAGCGAACAAGUACCGUGAGGGAAAGUUGAAAAGAACUUUGAAGAGAGAGUUAAAGAGUACGUGAAACCGUUCAGGGGUAAACCUGUGGAACUCAAACGAGCGAACGGGGAGAUCAUCGCUCUUCCGACGGUGGCCCGCGCCCCGCCUCUCACCUCCGCCACGGUCCUCGCGGCCGGUGCGGGGGGCGGGCGGGUGCGCCGCAGGCCCCCGGAGCGCGUGCACUUCUCCCCCAGUAUAACACCGCGACCCGUCGCGCUGCCGUCGAACGCGCCGUGCGGCAGACCCUGCUCGCACCGCGAGGAGGAGCCGCGGCGUCACGCGGCGGCAGUGGCACACACACGCAUCAUACAGCGACGGUAGAGAACGAGGAUCGAGUCCGCCCCCCCUCGGGGGGGCGUCCGUCGCCCUUCAGCGGUGCACGGCACGCGGCCCCCGGCGCUCAGCGCGUCGCGGGCGUCGCGAGCCGGGCGUCCGUCGUUAGAGGGGCGCUCUCGGACGGGACUCGCCCCGGUCGGCGGUGGUUUUGUUUUGGGCACUCACAGGACCCGUCUUGAAACACGGACCAAGGAGUNUAGCAUGUGCGCGAGUCAUUGGGAACACAGAUAAACCCAGAGGCGCAAUGAAAGUGAAAGGUCGGGCCUCGCGCCCGGCCACCAGGGAAGAUGCGCGGUCGGCGCCGUACGACCCGCCGCAUUCCCGAGGCGUUUCGAGAAAGCCACCGCGCGAUUAUCGAGACGCACUGAGAGCGUACACGCUGGGACCCGAAAGAUGGUGAACUAUGCCUGGUCAGGUCGAAGUCAGGGGAAACCCUGAUGGAGGACCGAAGCGAUUCUGACGUGCAAAUCGAUCGUCGGAACUGGGUAUAGGGGCGAAAGACUAAUCGAACUAUCUAAUAGCUGGUUCCAUCCGAAGUUUCCCUCAGGAUAGCUGGCGCUCGAGAAACAUGCGUCGCGUUCGCUCGCGCGCAUUCGAACAGUCUCAUCCGGUAAAGCGAAUGAUUAGAGGCAUUGGGGCCGAAAUGGCCUCAACCUAUUCUCAAACUUUAAAUGGGUGAGAUCUCCGUCUUGCUCGAAGAUGAAGUCGGAGCUCGGAUGGGAGUGCCAAGUGGGCCAAUUUUGGUAAGCAGAACUGGCGCUGUGGGAUGAACCAAACGUCGAGUUAAGGCGCCCAAUGAACGCUCAUCGGAGACCAUAAAAGGCGUUGGUCGCUCAGGACAGCAGGACGGUGGCCAUGGAAGUCGGAAUCCGCUAAGGAGUGUGUAACAACUCACCUGCCGAAGCAACCAGCCCUGAAAAUGGAUGGCGCUGUAGCGUUCAGCCUAUACUCGACCGUCGCAGGCAAGGGGGGCGCCCCCUUACGGGGGCGUCUUGAGGCCGCGACGAGUAGGAUGGCCGCGGCGGUGUGCGCAGAAGGGUCUGGGCGUGAGCCCGCCUGGAGCCGCCGUCGGCGCAGAUCUUGGUGGUAGUAGCAAAUACUCAAGCGAGGUCCUUGAGGGCUGAUGUGGAGAAGGGUUUCGCGUUAACAGCCGUUGCACGCGAGUUAGUCGAUCCUAAGCCCUAGGAGAGAUCCGAUGUUGAUGAUGGUGUAAAGUAUUCGAUAUAUAUUUUAUUUAUUUUAUCUUAUAAAAUAUUACACCCGUCGGGCGAAAGGGAAUCCGGUUGCAGUUCCGGAACCCGGCUGCGGAACCGUCUUAAAAUUCGUUCCCUCGCAAGAGAGUUCGUCGGGGUAACCCAAAAUGGCCUGAAGACG
rnacentral:rRNA from 1 species